GUCCAAAUACAAUAGAGGCAUUGAUUUGCUUGAAGGAUUGGAGUUUAGCAAAAUCAAGGAUGCAAGAGGCUCAGCGUGAAAUGCAGCUAGCUGAAGAAAGGAAGCUCAUUAGGGAAGGACGACCAGAUUGGAUGGAAAAUAGUGAAGUUGAAGCUGGAAAUGAAGCUGAAAAUGAAUCUGAUGAUGAUUCUGAAAAUGAGUCCCAUGAACAGGUACCAAGAUCAGCUGAAUCCCAUGAGUUAUCAACCAAUCUGCAGCCUUAAAUUUUCAACUUUUCAAGGGCUGUACCAAUUAUGCAGGGCUGCAGGCAGAUUCUAAGUGUGAGGUUGUGAGCGUCAUUGAUACCAAGUCUGAAUGGAAGACAAUAUGCCUAAUUAGAUAAACUCAUAGAAAUUGUAUUAAUAAUUUGCUUUCGUUCUAAGUUGUAAAUUGUUAUUCUGUCUUUUUAUUUCAGUACAUUAAAAGUUUAAAACG